UACGUAGGUGGCAAGCGUUGUCCGGAUUUAUUGGGUUUAAAGGGUGCGUAGGCGGUCGUAUAAGUCAGUGCUGAAAUAUCCCGGCUUAACCGGGAGGGUGGCAUUGAUACUGCAUGACUUGAGUAAAGUUGAGGUUGGCGGAAUUGACGGUGUAGCGGUGAAAUGCUUAGAUAUCGUCAAGAACACCUAUUGCGAAGGCAGCUAACUAAGCUUUAACUGACGCUGAGGCACGAAAGUGUGGGGAUCAAACAGG
rnacentral:rRNA from 1 species